rnacentral:lncRNA from 1 species
CAAUUUCCAUUUUUGUUUUAUUUGAUUUUAUUUUGUGCUAACAAUAUUUUUGUGUGUUGAAUAGAAAAAAAGAGACAAAAAGAAAAAAAAAAGAAAGAAAAAAAAUAUACAGAAAAAAAUGAGAAAAAUAAAAAAAAAAUUGUUGUGUGAAUAAUGGAGUCAAGAAGAGGAUUGAAUUAGAGGGUUUUAGGUGUGAUUUGACUGUGUUUUCACUUAUUCCCCAUUGCUCCUCUAUUUCCUUUGGUUUGUAGCUUCUCAUCCAUAUUUAUCCUCCCUUUUUCCUUGACCUCACUGCAUCC